GAAUCCCAAUCUACAUCGGCACUCAUUCAAGGGGGUAAAGGUUUUGUGAGAAUUAUUCAUCGAAACCAUUGGAGAUGAAGAUGAAGUUCUUCUGGCUGAUCACAAUCGCUGUGGUAGCGCUCGCACAGAUGGUGCUAGGCUACCAAAAUUACGGACAGUCCCUGGAACCGGCCGAGGAACAGUUCUGCCUGUCGGAGCAAUGCGAUACGCCAAAAAAGUGUCCGUCGGGCUCAAGCUGGAACGGUAAAGAAUGCAGCCCAGACUGUCAGUGUGAGAUGGAUCAUUGAUGAGUUAUGUGGAGUUAUUUCUAAUUGAUGUCACAAAAGUUUAAUAAAAAGGAAACAUACGGACGUAGUAAUAUGUUCAACGAGGUUAUUAUAUACAAUUGGACUUUGAUUGUGGCAGUUGUGGUGUAAACAUGUGCACUGUUUGUUUGUAAAUAUUGCACGUUUGGUAGGGUAAUUUUAAGCUUCUUAAUGAGCUUUUGUGUGAAAUACCAUAGCUGUUGGGAGAGGAACAUUAGUGUCUCUCCACUAUAUAAAUGGAUGUAACACAUUGAACAUGUAGCACAUCGUUUCUGGCCCAUACUCUAACUCUUAUUAAAAAGGAACAAGUUUUGCCAUACUACAAUGAAGACGCACUCGUACGUGCUGCUAAUUGCACUUCUGCUGAUAGCUGUGCACGUUUCCACAGGCUUUCCCACCACCGAUCAUCAUUCGUCAUUGUGCUGCAAGCAGUGUCUCGUUUGUGAGACCACUUGCAAACUGGUCGACUGUCCGGUGGAACGCGACACGGAAUGCAAUUGCCCGGAUGGAUUCACCUUCAAUGGGAAGGCGUGCAUGCAGGACUACUCGAGCAAAAUUCGUGUGCAGCCCCUUUGCUGUUGCGAGUGUAGGAAACAUUGUUAGGAAUGUUCGUUUGUUUGGCGUCGUGUGUUAGUGUGUUGAAACAUUGCUUUCCUGAAUCAUACAGUUGUCAGUGUAUAAGCAUGUUGCUGGAAAUAAAUAAUCACAUGACAUAGUGACAUACAGUGUGCAUGGUUGCAAACGAUCGUUGUUUUUAAAAUGCUUAACUUUUACAAGCUAGCUCAAACAUUGUUCCGCGAAAACUGUUUCAAAAAUACGGCUACGGGCACGUGCAGGUACCAUCGAUAUGCCCGCUUGCACUGCGCAGGGCAGUGUAAUAAUCGGACUGUUUAGCAAAAUACUUUGUUGUACUGCUGGAGCAGUUAAAGACAUCUCGUUUAUACACUUCCAACAUAAAAGCGUGUACUUAUCCACCCAUACAUAUUAUCAUACUUCCUCUGUACUUCCAUGUGCCGAACAACGACGGGCGCUAUAAAAGGGUGUGCUUUCACUUACACGUUCCUGUAAGUAACGCUAGACAGGGGUCGUUCAACAUGAAUAACUUGCAUGUAGUUUUUCUGCUGGUCGUGUUAGUUAUGGGACCACAGCUCUCCUCAGGAGGUUGCUUCCCGUCGGCCAAGCUUCGUCGAAACAGUUUACUGCAGCUACUAGUGUAUCGGGAGCAUUAUGCAACAGCGAUUAAACGUAGUGCUGGUGAGAGGUGUUGUCCUGCUGGAUACAGAUACGAUGGAUGUCGAUGUGUAAAAUCAAGCGUACACGUUAAUCCUUCCUCUCUCACUGGAAUUAAAGCAAGUCUAUGAAAAAAGGAAUAUAGUUUGUUGAGUGGCUCGUGUUUAAAAUUUAUGACAAAAAGUCAUAAAUGGUUGUUUAUUUCAUGUUCGUUUUCACACAUCUUCUCUUCAGUGGUACGUAUUGCAUGGCACGUGCUGCUGGGUGAACAGUCUCGGACUGCAUCGCGGACACUUGCAAUCUCCGUAUCCGUGGUUUACUCCAGCACAUCGAUACGGGUAAGGGUAGUUGUAGACCACCUCUUCCAGAUAGCCAGCUGGAUGCUCCUCGGUGUAGAAGACGUUCCCUCCGCACGAUGGAUAUGAGACUGGAUGAUGGAAAAAUACGAUGAAUACAAGUUUAAAGGAUCGAGAGAAAGUCCUGAGACUGUGAAUAGCUACUCACAACAAUGGAUGUGUGCAACACAGGCGAUGAACAGAGCGAACGCAACAAUCGUCUUCAUUGUGAGGCUACCGGAUUCGUUUGGAUUAGAACGAUGUUUUAUAUCUGUUUAUUGAAUUGAACUGUUUCUCGCUAGUUCUGUUGGCAGUAUUUAUAUGAAGAGGUGGGUCUCAGCAUCCAUUGUCAGAACUGAAGUCAAUGGAAAAUACUGAGAAGGUCACGUGUGAGUGAUAAGAGUUGUUAACACCUGUUAAUCUGGGCAGAAGAACAAUAGAAUAAUAAAAGAGUCAGUUAAAAGUAAUGCCGUAGAAAUCAUUAUAUUGAAACAAUUAUAUUUAUAGUCACGAUCAAAUUAAUUGGAAUAACAUACAUGGAGUUAUUAAAAGGCCUUA